GGAGAUGCCUUCUGGAGUCUAUGGCGGGGAUAUGUAUCACCAGGGAUAUGGGUAUGCUCCCUAUGGUACCUACCCUACUCCUGAUUCACCAGUUCCUACCAUGGGUAGUGAUGGUCAACUAUAUGGAGCCCAGCACUAUCAGUAUCCAACACAAUAUUACCAGCCUCCUACACCCAAUGCUUCCUAUGCACCUCACCAAGACCCUACUCGAGCGUCUGUUUCAGCUGCCGCCGCUACCAACCAGGCUUCUCUUUCUGCAAAUUUAGUUAAAGCAACCCCAAAUGGAACCACCAAAGGAAAUGCAAAUGGAAACAAUGGAUCAUCACCCCUGAAGCAAAGCCACCAGAAUCGACCAUCUCUGUCUAACAGUACGUAUUUGAAGGGUGGAGUGCCUGGCGGGCUUUCUGCUUCCGGCUAUCAGGACUUCAGAUAUGGUUAUGAUACCAUGCAAUCACCUGUAUCGUGGUAUGAUGGAACUUUGUUAUCUACUGGGCAACAAAGGCCUUCCACAACUGCAUCGGCUUUUCCUCACAAUGUCGGCAAUUCUUCAGCAAGAAACCAGAAUCAACAGCCCCUUCCCCACCUCAUGGGCUUACACACCCAAAGACCAUUGCCCGGGAUGAUGGGUUCAACUUCUCCUGGUUUUUCGAGCAAGCUGUAUCCGUCUUCCAACCGACUGUAUGGUCAGUAUGGGAAUACAUACAGGUCUGUUUCUGGAUAUGGACCAAGUUGGUACGAUUCUAGGAUCAAUGGGCGAUGGAGCUUGGUUACAGACAACAAGUACAAGCCUAGAGGCCGAGGCAACAGUUCAUAUGGCUAUGGCAAUGAAAACCUGGAUGGUUUUAGUGAGCUCAACAGAGG
rnacentral:misc_RNA from 1 species